CCCUUAGAUGUUCUGGGCCGCACGCGCGCUACACUGAUGCAUUCAACGAGUUCUUCCUGGUCCGAGAGGAAUGGGUAACCUUUUGAAAGCGCAUCGUGCUAGGGAUAGACUAUUGCAAUUAUUGGUCUUCAACGAGGAAUUCCUAGUAGACGUAGUUCAUCAGACUGCAUCGAUUACGUCCCUGCCCUUUGUACACACCGCCCGUCGCUCCUACCGAUUGGAUGAUCCGGUGAGCUAUUCGGACCUGUGCAUUUUCCAUUGGAACUUGCGUGGGAAAGUCUCGCGAACCUUAUCAUCUAGAGGAAGGAGAAGUCGUAACA
rnacentral:rRNA from 1 species